rnacentral:lncRNA from 1 species
AUCUGAUGAAUAUGGAACAGAAAAUACUGCAGUUCCAAUGGUCUUAAUCUGCUAUAUGUAGUCCGCACGAUCCAGCCACGGGUUUUGGACAUCCUCUUGCUCCACCUCAAACAAUCUUUCCUGAAAUAAUAAUAAUAAUAAUAAAGGCUACAGCAGUAACUAUCUCCUAAAAAAAUCAAGCAGAUAACGAUGGAAUAAGAAAAUGCUUAUGCAUGCAAAAAGGUCUUAAUUUC